rnacentral:rRNA from 1 species
UGCAGUCGAGCGCGGGAAGCAAGCUGAUCCUCUUCGGAGGUGACGCUUGUGGAACGAGCGGCGGACGGGUGAGUAACACGUGGGCAACCUGCCUGUAAGACUGGGAUAACCCCGGGAAACCGGGGCUAAUACCGGAUAAUACUUUUCAUCACCUGAUGGAAAGUUGAAAGGUGGCUUCUUGCUACCACUUACAGAUGGGCCCGCGGCGCAUUAGCUAGUUGGUGAGGUAACGGCUCACCAAGGCAACGAUGCGUAGCCGACCUGAGAGGGUGAUCGGCCACACUGGGACUGAGACACGGCCCAGACUCCUACGGGAGGCAGCAGUAGGGAAUCUUCCGCAAUGGACGAAAGUCUGACGGAGCAACGCCGCGUGAGUGAUGAAGGUUUUCGGAUCGUAAAGCUCUGUUGUUAGGGAAGAACAAGUGCCGUUCGAAUAGGGCGGCACCUUGACGGUACCUAACCAGAAAGCCCCGGCUAACUACGUGCCAGCAGCCGCGGUAAUACGUAGGGGGCAAGCGUUGUCCGGAAUUAUUGGGCGUAAAGCGCGCGCAGGCGGUCCUUUAAGUCUGAUGUGAAAGCCCACGGCUUAACCGUGGAGGGUCAUUGGAAACUGGAGGACUUGAGUACAGAAGAGGAGAGUGGAAUUCCACGUGUAGCGGUGAAAUGCGUAGAGAUGUGGAGGAACACCAGUGGCGAAGGCGACUCUCUGGGUCUGUAACUGACGCUGAGCGCGAAAGCGUGGGGAGCGAACAGGAUUAGAUACCCUGGUAGUCCACGCCGUAAACGAUGAGUGCUAGGUGUUAGGGGGUUUCCGCCCCUUAUGCUGAAGUUAACGCAUUAAGCACUCCGCUGGGGA